rnacentral:tRNA from 1 species
GCCGGGGUGGCGAAAUUGGCAGACGCAAGGGACUUAAAAUCCCUCGGUCAUUUUAUGACCGUGCCGGUUCGAGUCCGGCCCUCGGCA